UUGAAGAUGUUAAAAGCAAGAGACAUGGGAGAUCAUCAUUCCCUUGAGAUUUUAUAACUCAAACCAACUUUGGAGUUGUCUGAUUUGGAGAGUCAUUAUUCUUGGUCUGCGCUCUUAGAGGCCCCUGAUGAAGAGCAGGCGGUGACUGGGAUGAAUGCUGGUCAGAGAGGAGAAUCUUCUUUCCCCUAAACAGCAGUGGUUUUAAAGGAGGACGCUGCCCUGGAUGAUGUAGAAGAUGUCACAUGCUGUGCUGAUGGGGUUUCUUCAUGACUACAUCAGUUAUGCUAAAGAGAUCAUGAAAAUUGACAGUGAUGCAUGAUCUGUAUUCAUGGACUAUGAAACAAACUGUAAGUGUAUAAUUUGUUAAAAAAAAAAAAGUUAAAUGCUUUUUCUGUGUUGUUUAGUAGAAAAGUUUACACUCUGUCAUUCAUACACCUGCUAACAUUCUUUCACACACACACACACACACACACACACACACACGCAUCUGUUAAAGGUUAUAAUAUCAAAGUUAAUGUUGUGAUUUAUUUGUGUACUGUCAUGCCAGAAUAGUUGGAAAAAAAAACUAAUUGUAAAUUUAUUGUAUGUGUUUUCGUAUAUUUUUAUACAAUAUAUACAAUUGAACAAAGUCCAAUUUGAUCUUAAGUUAUAUUCAUCAAAUGUUCAAUGCUUUGUUUAUGAACUCUGUAGCUGUUAAUGCCAUCCUUUUCUGCAUUUCUUCUAACAUGUUACUUUUUGA